UUGGACGAGGAUGUGCAACUG
rnacentral:miRNA from 1 species